UUGCUCUGUGGGAUCAGUGGCGAACGGGUGAGUAACACGUGAGCAACCUGCCCCUGACUCUGGGAUAAGCGCUGGAAACGGCGUCUAAUACUGGAUAUGUGUCGUGACCGCAUGGUCAGCGUCUGGAAAGAAUUUCGGUUGGGGAUGGGCUCGCGGCCUAUCAGCUUGUUGGUGAGGUAAUGGCUCACCAAGGCGUCGACGGGUAGCCGGCCUGAGAGGGUGACCGGCCACACUGGGACUGAGACACGGCCCAGACUCCUACGGGAGGCAGCAGUGGGGAAUAUUGCACAAUGGGCGCAAGCCUGAUGCAGCAACGCCGCGUGAGGGACGACGGCCUUCGGGUUGUAAACCUCUUUUAGCAGGGAAGAAGCGAAAGUGACGGUACCUGCAGAAAAAGCGCCGGCUAACUACGUGCCAGCAGCCGCGGUAAUACGUAGGGCGCAAGCGUUAUCCGGAAUUAUUGGGCGUAAAGAGCUCGUAGGCGGUUUGUCGCGUCUGCUGUGAAAUCCGGAGGCUCAACCUCCGGCCUGCAGUGGGUACGGGCAGACUAGAGUGCGGUAGGGGAGAUUGGAAUUCCUGGUGUAGCGGUGGAAUGCGCAGAUAUCAGGAGGAACACCGAUGGCGAAGGCAGAUCUCUGGGCCGUAACUGACGCUGAGGAGCGAAAGGGUGGGGAGCAAACAGGCUUAGAUACCCUGGUAGUCCACCCCGUAAACGUUGGGAACUAGUUGUGGGG
rnacentral:rRNA from 1 species